GGAGGGGUUCCCGAGUGGCCAAAGGGAGCAGACUGUAAAUCUGCCGGCUCCGCCUUCGAUGGUUCGAAUCCGUCCCC
rnacentral:tRNA from 3 species